rnacentral:tRNA from 3 species
GCCGCGGUGGUGGAAUUGGUAGACACGUCAGACUCAAAAUCUGAUGUCCACUCGGACGUGCCGGUUCAAGUCCGGCCCGCGGUACCA